rnacentral:rRNA from 1 species
CCUACGGGAGGCAGCAGUGAGGAAUAUUGGGCAAUGCCCGAAAGGGUGACCCAGCAACGCCGCGUGGAGGAUGAAGUCCUUCUGGACGUAAACUCCUUUUAGAGGGGACGAAAAGCCCGAUUUGUCGGGAAUUGACGGUACCCUCAGAAAAAGCACCGGCUAACUACGUGCCAGCAGCCGCGGUAACACGUAGGGUGCAAGCGUUGUCCGGAUUCACUGGGUGUAAAGGGUGCGCAGGCGGGUCUGUAAGUCAGGGGUGAAAUCCCAGAGCUUAACUCUGGAACUGCCUUUGAUACUGCAGAUCUCGAGUUUGGGAGAGGCGAGUGGAAUAUCUGGUGUAGCAGUGAAAUGCGUAGAUAUCAGAUAGAACACCAAUGGCGAAGGCAGCUCGCUGGCCCAAUACUGACGCUAAAGCACGAAAGCGUGGGGAGCAAACAGGAUUAGAUACCCUGGUAGU